GGUCCUGACUAGCUGAACUGGAAGAGCAUGGCAUUAACAUUGCCAGGGUUAGAGGUUUGUUCCCACUGGGACCA